rnacentral:rRNA from 1 species
UACGACUACAUAUCAGGCAUAUCAAUAAGCGGAGGAAAAGAAACUAACUAGGAUUCCCUUAGUAACGGCGAGUGAAGCGGGAAGAGCUCAAAUUUGAAAUCUUAAAGGUUUUCCCUUGACGAAUUGUAGUUUAAAGAAGUGUUUUCUGUUGAAGUUUCGGUAAAAGUUCUUUGGAAUAGGACAUCAUAGAGGGUGAGAAUCCCGUAUUUGACCGUUACUUUUCAGCUGUGGGAUACACUUUCAAAGAGUCGGAUUGUUUGGGAAUGCAGUCCAAAAUGGGUGGUAAAUUUCAUCUAAAGCUAAAUAUUGGCGAGAGACCGAUAGCGAACAAGUACCGUGAGGGAAAGAUGAAAAGAACUUUGAAAAGAGAGUUAAACAGUACGUGAAAUUGUCAAAAGGGAAGCGUUUGACACCAGUGUUGUUUUCUCGAAAAUCAAUUAAAAAUGGCGUGAUUUUGUGUUGUAUUGACCUUAUAAGCUUUCUGCACUUUUUUCAUGUCUUUUUUAAUGCACUUUUCGUUUAACAAGUCAACAUCAAUUUCUUUUGUUGUAAAAGAGUCAUUGGAAGGUGGCUUUCAUUUCGGUAGAAAGUGUUUAUAGCCUUUGACUCCUGCAAUCGGAGAGACUGAGGUCUGCAGCGUAGAUCCUUCGGGAUUAGAUUACAUUUGUGCUAAGUUAUAGCUUUUCAUAGACAACUUGUUGACUAUAUUUUAGUCAUGUAGCUUACUCGCUUAUGUAAUUUUACCUACGCUUAGGAUGUUGAACGCGCACAGAGUCUC